CAGCCUUGCACUGGUGCGCAGGGUCCCGGUGUCCCGCCUGUGCCCGUGCCACCGAUGGCGUGUGGGGCAGAUAGAGGCUGCUCAUCUUCCCGGCUCUUGUCUCCAGCACGGAGUUUGUGCAGAAGGAAGAGAUUGGGAGGACCACCAAGGACUGCUGGGAUAGCCCCGAUGCACCUGCACUCUCGACUUGCAGCAAUGCUGAUAUCUUCCGCAGAAUAAAUGCCAUGUUGGAUAACUCUCUGGAUUUCAGUGGAGUCUGCACCACGCCCAUCACAAAAGGAAGAAGUGACCUUUUGCCAGACUUCCAGGACUCUGAAGGAACAGUGGCAAGCAGGAUGCUUUUCCCCACCUCUGCGCAAGAGUCUCCCCGUGGCCUGCCGGACACGAACGACCUAUGCCUGGGCCUGCAGUCUCUCAACCUGACUGGGUGGGACAGACCGUGGAGCACCCAGGACUCGGAUACUGCAGCGCAGACCAGCACGCAGUCCGGUGAGUUGCUCUCUGCUGACACGCAGCAACAGUUGUUGAUGAUUUGCUUUUGUGAAAAGUGAAGCUGCUGUUGCCCAGAAAAGUGUAAGUACUGGCUGAGGGAUUGCCCUUGGCCUUGUAAAUGCUGAGUGUAAUGGAGGGAGAGGUCGGGGGACAGAAUGAGGGGGGAUUGGUGAGUACUCCAGUCUUGGCUGCCGAAGUGAAGAAUAACUUCCAAAUACUCAGGCUUCUCCUGCAGUGUCUGGGGAGAGAUGAAUGUGCAGAUGAGCAAGAGGAUUGAUUAGUCUGCUGGUACCUUCCUAGCAAGUAGGUUAGGGUAUAUUUAGAGACUGAACUAAACACCUAGCCCGAGCCCCACUGCAGUGUGGUAGUGGAGUUAAACUCCGUUCCAGACAAAUA